CACACACACACACACACACAGGGCAGUUAAGCUUGUGGGAGUGUAGUGUUAAUACCACACCACAUCACCACCACCACCACCACUACCAUACAUUAUAUCAUACCACACAUUACAGCACUACACCACCAUACCACGGUAUCCUUGGCGCUCCGACCUGCCCAGCCCCGCCGAGCCCCUCCGACCCCCGCCCCGUCCCGCCGCGGCUAAGAUAUGAAAUUAUUUGGAUUAUCAGUCAAGAAAGGUUCAAGCUGCUGGAGGAAAGUAAAAAAUAGCUCAUCUAAUGCCUAGACUCAGCCCUAGAGGAAGCACCUGCCUGGAGCUGGCCACUGCAGAGCUGCUUCAGAGGAAUCGCGAGGCCACGCAAGCAGCGCCGAGGUGGUGAAGGAAUGCACCACGCCCUCACUCGUCACGGCACGCCAUAUGUAUUAUCAAGCGAGCCGUGACAAGUACCUCAUCUGUCUCCAUCGCUCAAUAUUGGAGCCUUUGGCCAAACCCCCGAGCUGUGAGUCAACGCCAACCACAGCGGCGCACACCAAGGCUGUGUGUGGGUCUGGGCGACACACACCUCAGAACACUUCAUGAAGCAGCGAUGGCAGACCACACUAAACUUUACUCAAUAUUGCAGAAUUCUUCAAUGGCACGCUUACAACAAAGACUGCACCACCAACUCACAUCGACGCAGACUGCAUUGAUGUAGUCAGUGUUGUUGUUGCCUUGGAAUGAAGUGAUGUACGGCCGGAAGUUGUCAGCUGCAAUGAAGAAACACACACGGAAAAAAAAAAACAUUAACAUAAUUCAUAAUAUAACAUCAUCUAAUGUUAGUACAAAGCUUCUCUCAGAUUUCUCUCCUAUAAACCUACCGCGCCUC